rnacentral:rRNA from 1 species
AACGAACGCUGGCGGCAUGCCUAACACAUGCAAGUCGAACGAGAUCUUCGGGUCUAGUGGCGCACGGGUGCGUAACGCGUGGGAAUCUGCCCUUUGGUUCGGAGUAACAGUUGGAAACGACUGCUAAUACCGGAUGAUGACGAAAGUCCAAAGAUUUAUCGCCAGAGGAUGAGCCCGCGUAGGAUUAGCUAGUUGGUGUGGUAAAGGCGCACCAAGGCGACGAUCCUUAGCUGGUCUGAGAGGAUGAUCAGCCACACUGGGACUGAGACACGGCCCAGACUCCUACGGGAGGCAGCAGUGGGGAAUAUUGGACAAUGGGCGAAAGCCUGAUCCAGCAAUGCCGCGUGAGUGAUGAAGGCCUUAGGGUUGUAAAGCUCUUUUACCCGGGAUGAUAAUGACAGCACCGGGAGAAUAAGCUCCGGCUAACUCCGUGCCAGCCGCCGCGGUAA